GUACACGUCUGUACAACAUAUAUGCCCACGCACACGUCACGUACGCGCGCGUGAUGUGUCGCCCCGGCGGUCAGUAGUCGGCGGCGCGCCACGUGCUCUCUACACACGACGCUCUGCGCUCUCCGCGUCGUACGCGUCCACCGCCGGGACGUGCGACCGCAUUACGCGCUCGCGCGCCGUGCACACCACGUGCUGCAUGCCAUUCACGCGAUCGCGCGCGCCCACUCGCACACGCGCACUGGUACGCCAACACACGCGUGCGCGCGCGCUACCCGCACCGGCCAUAUUAUUAUUAUCACUCGUAUACGUCACAGCUUUAUCGAUCAAUGAAUCAAUAUUAUCGGCACAAUCUUUAAUGGAGUUCAAACGUUUUGGAGUAAGAAGUAGUUCUGGAUAGAUUAAUAUUAUCCACAUAAAUAUUCCAAAAAACGUAUAGAAAGGUACUAUACAAUCUACUGUUAAUAUGUUUUCGGGUCCAAGGCCGUCAGAUGGUUGCGAACGAUAUACUUCCGGAGGUUCGAUUUGCAAACUGUGCUCAUCUGGUUUGGAGACCUAAGCUACCUAUGACACGGCGACGCAUCGAAUAAAAAUUAAUUUCAUCGCGAGAGGGAUAAACUCGGGCGCCAACCGGUCGGUCUUUAGGAUGCACGUGAUAUAUAUAUAUAUAUAUAUACUGCACAUGCGGGGUCUGGAGCAGAUGGAAUUCGGUGGUCAUCGUCGCGUAGUUGGUCAUCGCUUGGCAGGAGGUCGAUUGGCUGCCCCGUAUAUACACGGUGAUCCUUUCGGUAAAAAUUCGUUAUGAUUUCAUUGCUAUAUAAUAUAUAUACAAUAUAUUAUACAAUAUCACACUAAUAUGCUGUGCUAUAUUGCAAUAGGGUAUGCGUAUCCAUUUUCAAUAAUAAUUGCCUUAAUAGUAGGUAUUCGUAUUUUGUACUUCCCACCUUUGUUCGCUGAAUUUUCAGUAUCGAAUUUUGAAACCUAUAGUAUGAACUAUAGUAUAAUAUAGUAUCACACCUCGCGUUUGUAUAGUAUGCAAUUAUCAUAUUAUAUCUCAUAUAAUAUAUGGCAAUGUCAUAUAGUUAUUUGAACUUUAGAUUGAAAAAGAUGUGCACAAAAGUGUCUCCUUCAUGAAAUUGUAAGAUAUGUGUUUGCCCUCACCUGCAGCUAGCUGCUACACAAUCGAGUAAAUGUCUUGACGUCUUGCAACAACUUUCACGACAAUCAUAUAAUAAUUUGCCGAUAUUAGAUAUUUUAUGAAUAUUUAUAUAAAAAUAUUCCAUGCCGAGGUUUAAAAAUCAAAGUUUUAGGGUUUCAAAAAUAAAUAUUACACGAAACCACGAAUAUAUCUAGAGUUACAUAUAUUAUGAUAUAGGCUGCAGCACUUUCGCGUUUAUAUAACAUACGACCACUCUGUAUAUAUCAAUUCUGUGAGCCGAGUAUGUUGCAACACGGUAUAUACACGGAUAAAUGAACGCAGAGCCGAAAACUACUUUAACCCCUCGCGCGUUAGCCCUUUAAUUAUUGCAACGGCCGUCGUAGGUCGAAAGGGACCUUCGUCGAGGGAUCGAGAUCCAGACGGUUUCGUAUAUACAUAUAUAUGCGCCAUAUACGCGUUUCUUUGAUUCACCGAAUUUUUCGGCGUGUUAUAUAUAUAUAAUAUAUUAUUGGUUAUGUGCGUGUGUGUUUCUGAAUUCGAACACGAUACCGCUAUUGUACCUACCUACGUAGGUGACUCACCUAUAAGGUGAGAUAAUGAAACAUAUCGCCUUGGUCCGAAAUAAUUACAAAACGAUCCGUGACAAAUUAGACGGAUUACACAUCACGCAAAAGUGCCAAUUAUAUACUAUAGCUUUUCGAUUUUUACCCCAAAACUACCAUUAUAUGAGUUAUAACGAAUUAUAAUCACUUUUAUCAUAUUCCUGGAAAUAGCAUAUUGUAUACUGUUGAGUCGGUGAAACAUCGCCUAGUGAACACCUCUGUAUAGCGGACUAAAUUUAAUUUAGAAAUUGCCAACUAUUUUAUACAACUGUACCUAUAGUGUGCAGUGUGCUUGGAUACUUAUAUUUUUAAGUACGAGGGACAGAGCUUCCGUUUAAUGUA